rnacentral:snRNA from 1 species
AUCGCUUCUCGGCCUUUUGGCUAAGAUCAAGUGUAGUAAAAAAAUGGAGUUUCUAUCUACAUACUAGUUUAUCUCUAGAUCAUUCACAUCUCCUAGAAAUCCUU